rnacentral:lncRNA from 1 species
UAACCUUGUUUAGCUGCUUCAGAGUCGGAGUCUUUCUCAGUUCUGAACAAAACACACCACACCAGAAAUAUACAAGUCAUCUCAAAGAUUGCCACUGAAACAGCAAACCAUAGCAGAAAGUUGAGAGACCAAGCUCCACGAGCCUUUUCGUAUGUUCUGUUUAGCUGCACAGCAAAGUCUCUUGAACAUUCUAACCGUGAUUCUGUGCUUAUCUUUUUGACAGAGUUCAUAUUGGCCUUUGGCAAUUUUAGGUACAAGUUUCCGGAGAAACUCGGCGUAAUAAACCCAUUGAACAGUCGGAUCUUGGGGUAACAUAAAUACCCAUUGUUGUUGGUCAUAUCGUAAUCAAAUACGAAACCUCUGCAACUACACAUACUCAAGCAUCUCUCUUUACAAGC